rnacentral:tRNA from 1 species
GAAAUAAGUAAUUCAAAAGCAAGCUUCUAACUUAGCUUUUUAGCGAUGAGAUUCGUUAGUAUUUCU